AUCGGGCAAAGUUCCAAUUAAGCUGGGAACGCUUGCGGAAGAUCAUUGAGAAUGAGGGACCGAGCAUUCGUGGGCGAAAGCUCGCACGUGCCAGUAAGCGCCCGUAAACCUCCACCCUUGUGUAUUAUUCUUCUGUUGCUUUGGCAGGCCGCGACCCUCUGGGGGAGCGCCGGCUUCGGCUGGAGAGUGCCUGCCAGAGGACCAAACUCUGUAAUUUAAUGCCGUCUGAGUACUACGAAAAUAGUUAAAA
rnacentral:misc_RNA from 1 species